CUGUGUGAAUAGCACUUUUUUUUUUUUUGGUUUUGGUUUUGGUUUUGGUUUUUUGAGACAGGGUUUCUCUGUAUAGCCCUGGCUGUCCUGGAACGGACUCUGUAGACCAGGCUGGCCUCGAACUCAGAAAUCCUCCUGCCUCUGCCUCCCAAGUACUGGGAUUAAAGGCAAGUGCCACCAUUGCCCGGUGUGAAUAGCACUCUUAAGGAGCCCAAGAGCAGCCUGGGAGGAUGGAUCAGUGAUGAGAGAAGCCCUAGCGAAGGGACCAUGUGAAGAGGAAGGAGAAGAUGCACAGGCCAUCAAGAUGGAACCAACCUUCAAAUGCAAUGAACUCUAAAGCCAGAGGCCUGGUCUGGCUGUGACAUCAUGUUCUGAGUUAUCAACUUUCCUCGGAGAACAAGGCACACAACUCCUAGCCUUACCAAUUGAGAUGGACUGGUUUCCAAGACAGAUGUCUAGACAAUGCAUUCGAUGUUAAUGAGACAAAGCCGGUAAUGUCGGACAAAGUAG
rnacentral:lncRNA from 1 species